rnacentral:rRNA from 1 species
GGGAAUCUUGCACAAUGGGGGAAACCCUGAUGCAGCGACGCCGCGUGAGCGAUGAAGCCCUUCGGGGUGUAAAGCUCUUUCGGCAGGGAAGAUAGUGACGGUACCUGCAGAAGCAGCUGCGGCUAACUACGUGCCAGCAGCCGCGGUAAUACGUAGGCAGCAAGCGUUGUUCGGAGUUACUGGGCGUAAAGGGUGCGUAGGCGGCCCAUUAAGUUUGUCGUGAAAUCUCCCGGCUCAACUGGGAGGGUGCGGCGGAUACUGAUGGGCUCGAGUGCGGGAGAGGAGAGUGGAAUUCCUGGUGUAGCGGUGAAAUGCGUAGAUAUCAGGAGGAACACCGGCGGUGUAGACGGCUCUCUGGACCGUAACUGACGCUGAGGCACGAAAGCGUGGGUAGCAAA